rnacentral:lncRNA from 1 species
CCUUUUUGUUGCUGUGUAUAAAUGAUGUAGGGAGUUUUCAUCAAUGAAUAUUUACUGUUGAGUUACACAAUGUAUAGAGUAAAUCCCUGCAGGUUCAUGUGCAAAGUUAUGAUAAAAUGGUUUCUGAGAUUUAUCCAAUAGUGCCUAGAGAGCUUUGACAAAUAUAUGUGCAUAGUCUGUUGUUCUUGACAAAUAUAUGUGCGAUUGUUCAGCUUCCAAGCAACGAGGUCGUGGACCAGGUAUCAACAAUAUGAUAAAUUCUCAAGAACCUCUCCUUGCUCCUCGCAAAGCGCCAUUAGUUGGUAAUUUUUUUAAGGUUAGUAUGAAGGAUCAUGUACACUGCCAAAUUUCACGGUGUUUAUAUCAUCUACCGCUCUAGACGCACAAGUAGAGGUCAAGUGUUGAAAAACUGUUGGCACUGAAAUUUGCGACGAAACUGGCAACACAAACAAAAAUAUUACAGGAACAGAAGAAGGUGUCAUUUACCUCUACGCAGUAUUAUACUCAAAUUAUACCAUAUAACUAAAAAAAAAUUUCACUUCUCCUUUUCAUUUGCAGCUUAUGUGACUUAUCCGUAUACUAAUGGUGGAACUCACGUGUCUCCGAACACUUCCGGUUAGUAGUCUAUCAUUCUUUUAUCUUAUAUGAUCCGAUACUAAUUUCAAUCAUCAUGUUCACUUAAGAGUGUAGGACUCCAAGUAGCACUCUAACGUUCCGGGGAUCAAUGAUGAGGAGAAGCAAUUCUCUUCGCAAAGCAUGAAGAUUUAUGCACCUCACAACAUGUCUGAAUCUCCAGGUUCUCCUUUCACCUCAACCUGGUGUUUUGACACGACUACAUGAAUCAGGUACUAAAAGCAUCAACAUUCCAUGUGUACGCAGUAGACAGAAGCACAUCCUGUUGUCAACAGCCAUUUUCUUCUUCAAGUGUUAUGGUUCAUAAUCAUCACUCUGGUAUGCAGGUCAUUUUUAUUUUGAAAUUGGUCACCUAAAAUCCAGUUUGUAAUAGAUAUGAUACUUUAGUAAUUAAAUAUGCACCAUGGUAUAUUCUCGAUAGAAGUUAGCUAAAAUACAAGAUAAAUUCACUGAUACCAGAAGUUAGCUCUGUUCUCAUCAGGAAAAUUGAACAUGGCUUCUGCAUUGUUCUGGGGUAUUGCGGCAUUGGCUGGGAGUUUAAUUGGAUAAGGGUAUUACCUUCUUUAUUUUACAAGGAUAUUUCAGUGAGCACUGCUUUUUAGUAAUUUUCCAGUUCUUUUUACUUUUUUUGUAAGACUUUCUUUUAUUGUUUUAUGACAUUUAACUUUGGUAUUAUCUAAUAAAUAGAUGUUCUAUUGUUUCCUUCUUCGACUUUGGAUAAGACAUCAGUACUACUUAGAAGACAUCAGCACAAUCAAAUUGUUAUUGGUUUUCUGUUGAUCAUCAUUUACGGAUGUUGUAUUUCAUAGAACAGAGAAUUGUGUUUUUAUUUUCUAGGUGUGGUCAGUACUUUAUACUGUCGGGCAUCCGACUUCAGGCAUGGAUAGACUACUGACCUGUAUGUUCUGUUUUUUGUUUUUUCUUAAUUCUGUUUCAGAGAAAAAUGUGAUAUUAAUCACUACAAAUAAGUUUUUAUCCGGUAUUUCAAAUCAUUUAUCUUGUUUAACAAGAUCUAGAUUUCAAUUUAAUUUGAAACUGAUAAUAAUCUUCUCUUCUCCAAAUUUCUUGAAUCUUAUUGCCGUCCACAGGUUGGUAUUCUCCUAUCCUCAUGAUCGGUUACUAUUGUUUCGAUUGAUUAUUACACAAUAUCUCUUUAAAUAAAAAUUAUAGUUUUGUUCAUUCUGAUUAAGCACUGGUAGCUAUAAUCUAAGUCAUUCUGUCAACAUAAUUUCAUUCUGCAGGCAGAUGCAUAAGUAGGUAUCGUCUUAUAAUCCCAACUCAUCAAUUUCAUUUUUUUAUGGUGCAAAUAACCAUUCCAAUAUAGAAUUUUAACUUGAACAUUAUCCUACAACCUUUAGACAACGUUUGUUCUGGACAAAGUCAAAUGUAUUCUGUAGUACUUUACUUUGACCACAUCAGGUUUCGGUCACACAAGGUCCUCAUCUUCAUCUUGAUCAAGGGUUCAGAGGAAAAGAGGUGCAGAUGAAGAGCAAAAAUACUUUUGCAGCUCCAAGGAAUGUCAGGCCACUUAGUUAUACUAGCAACAUCAACACAAAACUUGAUGUGGUCGGGGAAGUUGCAGACGAGCAGCUGAAAUCUAAUGACAAGUUUAGAAAAAUGUUGUUGACAAAAUGAAAGAAGAGAGAAGUAAUACCAUAAUGAUGGUCGUGUAAUUCCUCUGGAUUGAGCUAUACAAGAUUGCUUGGAGUAGAUAUUAGCAGUUUGACCUCAGUAUUCCUAGAUUAGCUUUGCACGAAGACAUUCUGUUACGUGUGUUAAUGUUAUCUGAUUAUAUGGUGCAUCUCACUAAUGUUACAUGAAGGUGAUUGCCUAAUGGAACCAACAAAGACAGAAAAUCUUCUAAUUAUAGAAAUUCAUAUGGAUGAAUGGAUUUGCUUGGUCCAGACCCACACCAUUGAUAUGAAUGUCAGUGACUUUUUUCUGGGUAACAUUGAUAUGAAUGUCAGUGACUUUUUUCUGGGUAAGCUAUCAGAAUUUUAUUAUUAUCUCGGAAAAUCUUAAGUGGCUGCAUCAGCAAUAACUUGAUCUGAUGACAGUAAAAGAACCUGAAUGACUAAAUAUAAAGUAGCUACUGCCACUUAGCAAAAGAGAAAAAUAGAUCGAGACAUGGAGAAAGAGAGCUAUAUUAUUUCAUUUAAAAUAAAAUUGAGCUUGUAAUUUACUUUUUUUUGGUCAGGGAGUUUGUAAUUUAUUUGAUAUCAUCAUUUAAGAGAAUAUUUGUAUUAAUUCUAUUAAUUGUAUAUUGUAAUUUUAUUCAGUCCAAAAAAGUGAUUUUUCAAGUGUGGUAGAAUGUUUGAGCUUUUCUUUGAAUAGACAUGUAGAUAAAUAAAAUAAUGCUUAAUAGAAUUUUAUAAAAAUUAAUUUCUUUUUUCAAUGUUUCACAUGAAAAUAAUUAUUAUUUUUGAUAAAAUAAUAUUUUGAUGACGUAUAUAAUAUUUAUUCAUAUUAAUAAUAAAAUAGUAAUUUAGUAAUUUAAUUUGACCCAUGUCAUUUAUAAAUAAAAUAAAUUUAAGUAAUAGAAAAUUUAUAAUUGAUUAAAUAAAAUAUUUAUAAAUUUUAUCAAAAUAUUCUCUUAACAUAUAUANUGAUAAAAUAAUAUUUUGAUGACGUAUAUAAUAUUUAUUCAUAUUAAUAAUAAAAUAGUAAUUUAGUAAUUUAAUUUGACCCAUGUCAUUUAUAAAUAAAAUAAAUUUAAGUAAUAGAAAAUUUAUAAUUGAUUAAAUAAAAUAUUUAGAAAUUUUAUAAAAAUAUUCUCUUAACAUAUAUAUAGGGUUUUGGUGUAACUAAUUUCCAAAACAAUAACAACAAAACAACAGAACAACAAAACAAUAUAAAAAAUAUAUAACAACAAAACAACAAAACAAUUAAAAAGAAAAAAAAAAGCAAAAUCUUAAUGGAUGCACCUAGAGCACGCUAAGCGCGGGCAAAAAUACCUAGUAUAAAGAAUGCAUCAACAUACAAAAGAAAAAAAAAAUAAUCAUUUUUAUACCUGAUAAACUGAUGAUGCAAACGUCGAGAAUCGAAACUAAUCAGUUGAUGUACUGAUAAUGUAUCAGAGAUUUUUUGAAUAAUCAGAGAUUUUUUUUUGACAGAAAAACUGAUAUAUUAAGAACGUAUUUCUACUGUUGUAGGUAAAACAUCUCGCGCCGCUCGCCAUAUUAAGUUAACAACCUUCCCUGGUAAUUCCAUUCUCCAAAUCCUUCUCCAGAAAGCUUUCUCAGUACAUUCAGCUUCUCCCUGAAUACAUCGAUAAGAGCAUCUCCAAGGGUGUUAUGUAUAUUUGUUAGCUAUAAUAUGAUAUAUAGAUAAUCAUCUAAAAUUAUAGCUAAGAGGUUCUAAGUUCACUCCAAUGGUGUUAUGUAUAAUUAUAUUAUCUAAAAUUAUACAUAAUACCUUUAGAGGUUUUACAAAUGUAGCUACCCCAAUUUUUUUUUUUUUUUUGACUAAUAUGGCUUAUAAGCCUUACAAUUGAGUAUCUGUUCUUAGACAAUNUGACUAAUAUGGCUUAUAAGCCUUACAAUUGAGUAUCUGUUCUUAGACAAUCUCGAAGUGAGCCAGAGUCGAACCCAGAACCUGGGCCAACAGAGGAUAAGCCCUUAACCACCGGGCUAUCCAAUCGUGCUCUAGCUACCCCAAUUUUAGUUAUCUAUAUUUUUUUGCUAAGGGGUAAUGGUUGGAGACUAGAAUUUUUACCUAUUAUCUAAAAUGUGCGACAUAGAUGCCACAUAAACACUUUUACCUAAGAGGUCUAAUGCCUUGGAGUUGCUCUAACAACUUUUAACCGAAAAUUCACCCUUAUCAUCUAGUAUCCAAUACCAGGAAUCACUUCUGCUGCGUAUAGGAAUAGGAAUCUGCUUUAUUAGCCUCUUGUCACGAUCAUUACACAAAUCAUUCAACACAUCUUCGUCCCAUUUACUCCCAUGCUCAUCCAUCAGAUUUCACCUUUGUAUAUUGUAACUCCUCUGGCAUUGUGGUCGUUAAAUUCUCAUUUUCGAAACAGGGCAACCAAGGAUCUUUCCACACCAUUGUAUCGUCUCCAUUUCCAAUUCGUCUACGGGUUCCUUUCUUUAUCACUUCUUGUGCUUCCAGUAUACUACGCCAAACAUAGCUCGGGUUACUACCCAUUUUCGCACCAAGAAAAUCAGAGUUUGGGUAAUACCUUGCUUUCAUUAACUUAGUAACCAAAGGAUUACUAUUGUUAAUCAGACGCAGAGUAAGCACGUGAAUGUAGAUACAAGAUGUGGUUGGUGCCAAAUAAAUUCAGAAACUGCAGUUCAUGUGUUGUUUGAGUGUACAUUUGCAAAAGAAAUCUGGGAGAUGCUACGACUUCAGAACGUUAUUCACACAGAAGAAGGGGACUCAGUGUUGUGUGUGUUGAAGAGAGCGCUACAAUCUGCAAGCAAAGAACAAGGUCUGCUAAUAGGACUGUUAUGCUGGUGCUUAUGGUUUCGCCGGAACAAAUGGGUGUGGGAAAGAAAUAAUAUGUCAACAUUUGGCAUAAAAUCACUGGCUGUAAACAUGUUGACAGAUUGGAGAAAGGCGUUGGAGCAAGGGGAGCGACGUACAGGAGGAGUACAGGUGCAGCAACGACAAUGGUCUAAACCACCCGCUGGUUGGCUAAAGGUUAAUAUCGAUGCUUCUUGCAGGCAAGGGAAUGAAUGGAUAGGCGCAGGGUGUGUGGUCAGAGAUGAGGAAGGUAGGUUUGUUCGUGCACGAACUACAGUAGUCAGAGGACGGGCAUAUGCAAGGGAAGCCGAAGCUUUGAGCCUCAAAGAAGCAUUAUCCUGGAUGAAAACGUGGAGGCACAACAAGUGCAUUUUUGAGUCAGACUCUAAGGUACUGAUAGAUGCAAUUCGAGCUGGCCAAGGCAAGUCAAUUUUUGACACUCAUGUGGAGGAUUGUAGGGAAUUACUUAAACACUUUGAGGAUGUGUUAGUUGUCUUUGUAAAUCGAUCUGCGAAUAGUGUAGCCCAUGAAUUAACAAAGGCUGCUUAUUCUAUGUCAGGUCCUCAGGAAUGGUUAUACGCUGCUCCUGAAUUUAUUAUCUGUAACCUUGCCCUAGAGGCGAUUUGAUUAAUGCAAGUACGACUAUUUCAAAAAAAAAAAGAACGUAUUUCAUCCAUCAUCCAACAGAAUAGAGAUUUUUUUUUGACAGGAAAGCUGAUAUAUUAAGAACGUAAAUCAUCCAUCAUCCAACAGAAUACACCUUAAAUUGAUAGGAGCAAAUUAGAGAUUUUUAGUCAAAUUAAAAAUGUACUCAAUCAAUAAAUCGGUAAGAUAUUUUUUAAAAUUUAAUAAAAAAUUAAUCGUUAAUUUUUAAAUAAAUCAGAGAUAUCUAGAAAAAUGUCUAAACUAUUUUCAGACUUCAAACAAUGUAUAUUCCAUUUCGAUAUAUGGAGCUAAAUACACUACUUUAUUUUUUUGACAUAAUAGUACACUACAUGUUACCAAGUUCAAGUAUAAUAUUUCUAGUGUGAAAUUCAAAGAAAAUUGAUAUUACAGAUUUUCCCUUCUUAGAAAAGAGAACUGUUGCCAAACAGUUUAUAUUCUAAAAUAAAAAACAAAAAAUCUACCCAGGUCUAAUACCUUUUUGUUGCUGUGUAUAAAUGAUGUAGGGAGUUUUCAUCAAUGAAUAUUUACUGUUGAGUUACACAAUGUAUAGAGUAAAUCCCUGCAGGUUCAUGUGCAAAGUUAUGAUAAAAUGGUUUCGGUGCCUAGAGAGCUUUGACAGCAUGGUCAUCCAAGUAAGAGAUUGCAACAAUGGCGUGCAGAGCUGCUCCUAUAGGCAGGACAUCCUCAUC